rnacentral:rRNA from 1 species
GACGGAGGAUGCAAGUGUUAUCCGGAAUCACUGGGCGUAAAGCGUCUGUAGGUGGUUUAAUAAGUCGACUGUUAAAUCUUGAGGCUCAACCUCAAAAUCGCAGUCGAAACUAUUAGGCUAGAGUAUAGUAGGGGUAAAGGGAAUUUCCAGUGGAGCGGUGAAAUGCGUAGAGAUUGGAAAGAACACCGAUGGCGAAGGCACUUUACUGGGCUAUUACUAACACUCAGAGACGAAAGCUAGGGUAGCAAAUGGG